rnacentral:rRNA from 2 species
GGCAAGUCGAACGCGUUGGCCCAAUUGAUUGAUGGUGCUUGCACCUGAUUGAUUUUGGUCGCCAACGAGUGGCGGACGGGUGAGUAACACGUAGGUAACCUGCCCAGAAGCGGGGGACAACAUUUGGAAACAGAUGCUAAUACCGCAUAACAACGUUGUUCGCAUGAACAACGCUUAAAAGAUGGCUUCUCGCUAUCACUUCUGGAUGGACCUGCGGUGCAUUAGCUUGUUGGUGGGGUAAUGGCCUACCAAGGCGAUGAUGCAUAGCCGAGUUGAGAGACUGAUCGGCCACAAUGGGACUGAGACACGGCCCAUACUCCUACGGGAGGCAGCAGUAGGGAAUCUUCCACAAUGGGCGCAAGCCUGAUGGAGCAACACCGCGUGAGUGAAGAAGGGUUUCGGCUCGUAAAGCUCUGUUGUUAAAGAAGAACACGUAUGAGAGUAACUGUUCAUACGUUGACGGUAUUUAACCAGAAAGUCACGGCUAACUACGUGCCAGCAGCCGCGGUAAUACGUAGGUGGCAAGCGUUAUCCGGAUUUAUUGGGCGUAAAGAGAGUGCAGGCGGUUUUCUAAGUCUGAUGUGAAAGCCUUCGGCUUAACCGGAGAAGUGCAUCGGAAACUGGAUAACUUGAGUGCAGAAGAGGGUAGUGGAACUCCAUGUGUAGCGGUGGAAUGCGUAGAUAUAUGGAAGAACACCAGUGGCGAAGGCGGCUACCUGGUCUGCAACUGACGCUGAGACUCGAAAGCAUGGGUAGCGAACAGGAUUAGAUACCCUGGUAGUCCAUGCCGUAAACGAUGAGUGCUAGGUGUUGGAGGGUUUCCGCCCUUCAGUGCCGGAGCUAACGCAUUAAGCACUCCGCCUGGGGAGUACGACCGCAAGGUUGAAACUCAAAGGAAUUGACGGGGGCCCGCACAAGCGGUGGAGCAUGUGGUUUAAUUCGAAGCUACGCGAAGAACCUUACCAGGUCUUGACAUCUUGCGCCAACCCU